UCGAGAAUUUUUCUCAAUGGGGGAAACCCUGAAGGAGCGACGCCGCGUGGAGGAUGAAGGUCUUCGGAUUGUAAACUCCUGUCAUUGGUGAACAAAGUCAUCGGUUAACUGCCGUUUGACCUGAUAGUAGCCGAAGAGGAAGAGACGGCUAACUCUGUGCCAGCAGCCGCGGUAAUACAGAGGUCUCAAGCGUUGUUCGGAUUCAUUGGGCGUAAAGGGUGCGUAGGUGGCGGGGCAAGUUUGGUGUGAAAUCCCGGGGCUCAACCCCGGAACUGCACUGAAUACUGCUUUGCUAGAGUACUGGAGAGGGAACUGGAAUUUACGGUGUAGCAGUGAAAUGCGUAGAUAUCGUAAGGAAGACCAGUGGCGAAGGCGAGUUCCUGGACAGUUACUGACACUGAGGCACGAAGGCCAGGGGAGCAAACGGG
rnacentral:rRNA from 1 species